GCUGGGUGUGAUGGCACAUACCUGUAAUCCCAGUGACUCAGGAGGCUGAAACAGGAGUAUUGCAAGUUCAAGGUCAGCCUCAGUACUUUAAGCCAGCGCCCUGAGCAACUUAGUGAGACCCUGUCUCAA
rnacentral:sRNA from 1 species